AAUAGCCUCGAAGCGGGCUCCUGCACAGCCCUGUGACUUGACUCUGCACCCCACCAUGUUGGGAAAGGCAGCAGAAAACUUUGCUUUGGACUCAGCACCCAGGAUUUUAUCCAAACAAUGCAUUGGACUACAAUAAGAUAUGAUCCUGCCCUCAUAGAGCUUACUAUCUAGCCCACCAGGAUCCCCCACCCACUCAGCAAACACAUGCCGAUGUGGCAAAGAAAGUGUUCUAAGAAUCCAAGGAAAACAUGAUAGCAAUCCUGGAAACACAAAGUCAGCAGCUGCCCAGAUACAGAGAAAAGGAACUAGGAAGCGAAAUGUCACGUUGCUUUCCUCUGGCCUACUUGCAAUUUGAAGUGUUUUUAAGAGCAUUGAACACUGGGAUCCAGAGCGGAAGAGACCUUAGAUAUCAGCUACUACAGCUCCUUCAUUUGGAAGGAGGAAAUGGAGGCCCAGAGAAAAGAAAGAUUGCGCUAAUGACCAACCAGGAAUCCAGAAGACCAAGGAUAAAAUAUGGUACCCAGCGCCUGGUAAUAAGAGGAAGAAACCCAUACCUACAAGAUCUCCUGCGUCCAUCCACUUCCCUCUGCUCCCAGAGUGGCUGCUUCGAUUCUGACCUGGCUUCUUACCAGAGUCUCCUAACUGGUCGUCUCUUCCCUCCCCACAAAUGGCCAAAGCAAUUUUCGUUGAGCCCGGGUCUGACCAUGCUACUCCCCUAAUCAUAAACUCACAUGGUUCCCUACCACCUCUAGAUGAAAAUACGUUCUUCAGUUUGGCUUUUUAAAUCUUUCACAACCCGCCUCCAACCUACCCUUCUUGCUUUAGUAUACAUAAUCCCCUCCCAAUGCUCUGUAACCUAGUCAAACUGGCCUUUCUCUCCAAUUCUGCUGCAAGACCCCCAACAUCCCAUCGGCAUGCCUUUGCACUGCCCCACCACCACACACGUGCCCCCAGCAGUGCCCCCCCCAGCUGUAUGCUUGAAAUCAUUCCAGUGUAAGCUCUUCGAAGAAAAGGAUUGUGUCAUUCUUGUCUUUGUAUCUGCAGCGUAUACAAGACAGUCAAUACACGCUUGUUAAAUUGA